rnacentral:lncRNA from 1 species
GUUGAAGUUCAGGUGUGACACCUUAAAUAGUCCUAUAUCGGUGAUUGUGAUUAGGUGUAUAAGAGACCAUGGACACUAGUAAUAAUAACCGAGUUUAAGCAUUUUGGGUCGGUGGUUUGAGCCCAACGAAUUAUUAUUGCUAGCGGGUGAGAUUGUUUUAUUUAGUAUUAGAGUCAAUCACUAUCGAAAAGCGUGAGAUGGAUAUCUCGGCUGAGCCAUAGUCGGAAUGACAGGUUAUGUUAGGGUUGCGGCAUUGAGUUUUUGCCGCCUAAAG